UACGUAGGUGGCAAGCGAUACUCGGAAUCACUAGGCGUAAAGCGCAGGUAGGCGGCUCGAUAAGUCUCUUGUGAAAGCUCCCGGCUCAACUGGGAGAGGUCAAGGGAAACUGUUGGGCUAGAGUGUGGUAGAGGAAACUGGAAUUCCCGGUGUAGCGGUGAAAUGCGUAGAUAUCGGGAGGAAUACCUAUGGCGAAAGCGGCUCACUGGACCAUAACUGACGCUGAGGCACGAAAGCUAGGGGAGCAAACAGG
rnacentral:rRNA from 1 species